rnacentral:rRNA from 1 species
ACCAGACUCCUACGGGAGGCAGCAGUGGGGAAUAUUGCACAAUGGGGGAAACCCUGAUGCAGCGACGCCGCGUGAGUGAAGAAGUAUUUCGGUAUGUAAAGCUCUAUCAGCAGGAACGAGACAAGACGGUACCUGACUAAGAAGCCCCGGCUAACUACGUGCCAGCAGCCGCGGUAAUACGUAGGGGGCAAGCGUUAUCCGGAAUCACUGGGUGUAAAGGGAGCGUAGACGGCUGAGCAAGCCUGAAGUGAAAGGCGGGGGCCCAACCCCCGGACUGCUUUGGGAACUGUACGGCUGGAGUGCAGGAGAGGGAAGUGGAAUUCCUAGUGUAGCGGUGAAAUGCGUAGAUAUUAGGAGGAACACCAGUGGCGAAGGCGGCUUACUGGACUGUAACUGACGUUGAGGCUCGAAAGCGUGGGGAGCAAACAGGAUUAGAUACCCGAGUAUUG